AGAGUUUGAUCAUGGCUCAGGACAAACGCUGGCGGCGUGCAUAAAACAUGCAAGUCGGACGAGCCAAUCCCCGCAAGGGGAAAGGCUAGUGGCGAACGGCUGAGUAACACGUAGGUGACCUGCCCUGAAGUGGGGGAUAACGACUCGAAAGAGUCGCUAAUACCGCAUGUGACCACCGAUCCGUUUUCGGUGCUCAAAGUCGUAAGACGCUUUAGGAGGGGCCUGCGGCGGAUUAGCUAGUUGGUGAGGUAAUGGCCCACCAAGGCUUCGAUCCGUAGCUGGUCUGAGAGGAUGGCCAGCCAGACUGGGACUGAGACACGGCCCAGACUCCUACGGGAGGCAGCAGUUAGGAAUUUUGCGCAAUGGGGGAAACCCUGACGCAGCCACGCCGCGUGCGGGAUGAAGGCCUUCGGGUCGUAAACCGCCUUUCUCGAGGAAGACACCCGACGGUACUCGAGGCAUAAGCAAUGGCUAACUACGUGCCAGCCGCCGCGGUAAUAC
rnacentral:rRNA from 1 species